rnacentral:lncRNA from 1 species
UUCACACUGAGACUGGCUCUAACACUUUGUCUCACUGAAUGCACAGCUGCCAAAAAGAUUCAUCUUUGUCUCCAGAUGCUAGACAAACACGCCAUUUGGAUUUGUUAAAACUCCUAGUUGAUUGCCUUUACCAAAGUAUAAAGGGAAGUUUCAUCAUGGAGAACAGCUUGAGCCAAGAAGCAGAGGAAAAUCCCUAUCUGUGUUUUCAGAGAACACCGUCUCUCAGACGUAAAUGGAGAAAGCGCUACGGAGGCCUGGACGGCAACAAACUGCUGGAGCCAAAUAAGGAGGAUGACAAAAGAGAGAAUGGAGAGAUGACAGAUGCCCUCACCAACAGGAACGCAGACCCUAUGAAGUUUACUGCGUCUAAGGAAACAAAAGCUGCAGGGAACAUUCCACAACCUGUGCCAAAACAUACCUUUCCAUCCCAGAGGCCAGUCAAUUAUGUCUUGCCAGGCUCUAACGGCCCUGUGGAGCUCAGGAAUCAUCCGAACAGACCCGCGGAUUAAAGACUGCUGCGGAAAUUACAGGAAGCAGAUGGAACUGUUGACAGGAGCACUUUUCACAGGCCAGACUGAAUCUUGAUACCAAUAGUCAAAUUUAAAGCAUCUUAAAUAUAAAUACUAAACACCCCUAAUAUUUUAUGCUGCUAAUAUGCUUCAUUUGUGAACGUCUUGCAGGUGCGUGACUGGCUUUGUGUCUUUCAUCCUGAAGGCAUUGCAAGGAAGAUUUGUCAUUCCAGAUUUCUCUACUUUCACAGAGGAAACACAAAAGCUGUUUAUGAAAUGCAAACAACUCUCCUCUGUGAAGGUGCGUCAAAUCUGUUUCUGCUGUUGUUGUUGUUCUUCUUUUUAUAUAACAGUCUAUUGAAAAAGAUGUGCAAAGAAGCCUUAAAGUAGCACAGGUUAUUUUUUAAUUGUCUCUUGAAAAAUAUCAUAACGUGACUCAUAUCCUGUGUAUUUCUGACUAGGAGAAAGAAGACAUAAGAGAGGGUGGCAUGAAAUGGGGCAUUUCAGUUUGUACCGUGGAUGGACAGAGGUGCCACACAACAGUCCAAUUCAAUUGAUUUGAUAAGAGGUCUUCAGCAGGGGGUCUCGGCAUCCCUUAGGGGGUCCACAGUGGCACUGAGAGAGAGAGAUCAACACAAGAGAGAUAAAUCAGCAUAUUAGAAUGAUAAUUCAGC